CGACAAGCGACGACCAAACUGUCUCAUCGUCAACCAUCCAAGCCAAGCGAUGAACAUCUGACGACGACGACGACGAAUUUUGUUUUGCAUCAUCGGUCGUCACCAUUACCGGUUGUCAACUGUCGGCCCAAAAACAGCGAACUUAAAAAAAAUAUUUGACUACACUGCACUGUUAAUCCGCAAACUUGGUAAUCCGGUGCGCACGGAGUUUACGAUCCACUUCCAAGUUCACUCGGUUUUCAAUCCAAAUUGACAGUCAUCCAAAGGCCAAGAUGAAUAACCCGAAAGGGAACAACGUGCACUCUAAACAGCUUGGUUUCAAAAUGAUAUGUUUGAGUUUCUACCUGGUAAUAAUGAUGAUGGAGAUCGGGCCGUGUACGAGUGAUGAGAAUUUCACAAGCAUCAUUAGCGGCAACGGCGUCUCCAAAGCAAUACAAACGUUUCCAAUAACCGACUUAUGGUCGUUCGACGGAAUUCCGAACGUCGUCUAUCACAAAAUUCGUAAAAACUGCUCGAAAGUCAAUCAGUUCAUAGUAGACAUGAACUUCAACGAGACGAAAUUAUAUAAACCCCCGCCAUUGAUCGCCGCCUUGGCUGGAAUGUCGAAUAAAAAAGGACGUGGAAGAUUGAAGGGCACACACAUCUCGUUGAAUUUAACGCAACCGCUGAAGUUGAUAUUGUGCGAUGACAACAUCGAUUUAUUAGAAUGGGCCAAAUCCGGUGUAUUGACUAACGAGUCGUCUUCGCCAUUGAAUUUAGACUUCAGCAUCACUUAUACCGGCAAGAGAAAAACUCAACUCAUAAAAUCAGUUGCAUUAGACUUUGCAAGUGUAUUUGUAAUAAUAUUCAACGAUCCACCACCAGAAUGUUUAUUAGUUGACGAUUCAAACCAACAACUUUUUUGGAGUGAUAGUAAAUAUGGCACAAUCGAAGCAUACGAUCCUAAAAAAAAAACCGUUGAUCAUUUGGUAAGCUUAAUGACCACGCCUAGAUCAAUGGUCAUCGAUUCAACUCUCAAAUUACUGUUUUGGUGUAACACCGAGUCCGAAGGCAGUAUCGAACGCAUCAACUACGAUGGGAACAACAGGAUGGAAAUAACUACAGGAAAAUACGAUUUGAUUUACCCGGACAAAUUGGGAAUAGACCACACCAACAAGAUGUUAUACUGGAUGACGGACAAAGUCAUCCACAAAUCCGACUACGAAGGAAAUUCUCACAAAAUCGUAAAGAAAAGUGAAUUUUACGACCCGAAUAUUCCCAGGUGCAUCUUUUUCACCAAAGCUACUGAAUACAAUUUUUUUUGGGAAAAGCCGCGGGUGUCAAAUCCCAAUCGAUCUUUUGCGCCUAAUUUACUGUCGAUCUCGUACCAAAAAAGUGGUGAGCCGUUUAAAAAAGCGAAGUUCCCCCCGAAGUUCCAUUUGCUGGAAUUGCAAAAAAAUAACUAUAGCCCCUCGCACAUGUGUCAGAAGAACCCGUCGGGCUAUUAUUGCUUCCUCCUGCCUGUACCGUUAAACAGGUUUCCGAACGUUAAGGUCAAUCGCAUGCUGAACAGGGCCGGAUACAAACCGAUGAAGCUGAAUCAACUGAGCAAAUUCCACCCAAAACACGAAAAAUUGCUGUUAAAUGUCAAUUCGUUCUACUUCAUCUCGAAAACCCGCAAGGUGUUUUACUAUGACGCGAAGACGAAAAGCAUCCGAUAUAUUUCUUAUUUAGAAGAACAUCCUAUAGAUAUUGUUAAAAAUAUCGUUACUCCGAUCAACGGCUUCUGGUACGACAGUUUAAAUAACGCUAUAUACUUCAUCAAUGUAACAGAAAAUAGCAUAGUAAAGGUUGAAUUGGAGGAAAACAACUACCCUAAAAAAAUGGUAACUACGGUGAAGGACCCAAAUGAGACUAUUUUAGUGGCAUUGACUUUUGAUACAGUACAAAACAGGUUGCUGUUUUUUGCAUGCCAGUAUUCGAAACACAAUGCUACGUAUAAUACAUAUUAUAAUGAGUACGUGGCUGUAUAUUUUAUAAGAAAUUUAACUAUGCCUUUACUAGAUCUCAUUGUAAUCAAUUUAAUAACGAAUAUAAUCUUAAUAAAUACUACUGAUAUGACGGCCGAAUUUUAUAAAACUAACACCGAUGCGUCAUUCAGUGCAUACUUUACGAAUUUAACGGCCUAUCAAAACAAUGCUCAAACUCAAUCUUUAUCAUUACGGAGAAAAAUUCUCACAACUGUACUCAAUAUUUUUAUGAGUUAUUUUACGAUACAUUUCACAUGCUUCAAUUAUUUAAUAUUAUUUUAAGAAGAAUUUUUCAUUUUAUACUUACAACUUUCAAUACCCAUCGCAAUAUACAGAUAAAGUAUACCUUUUAGUCUACACAAAAUGAUCACUACACGACUUACUUAAACGCACAAUCGUCAUUCAAAUCAAGACGUGAACAAAAUCCAUUCCUUUACAACAUAGAGCCCGAAUUCAAGAUGUACUGCUGCAACGCUUAAACUCAAUCUAAUAAUACUCACCGUCGUACUACUGCAGCGGAUGUCACCGACGACCAAAGUCGAUUGGUUCCGUACUAGAAAACUACUAAUAAUAUUCAUACCGCGCUGACUGCUUAAAGUCGCAAAACACACGUCAUUUCAACGGUGAAACUCUGGGUGUAGAUGUCGAAUCCCGAAUCCGUACCCUUCCCCCUUUGAACCGUAUUCGAGUAUCCACAUCAAGUGAUACAUUUCAUUUGCAUUAAUGUACAUUUUAAUAAUUACCCAACAUUAAUAUCCUUUUUUUUAAAAAAAAAAAAAGUAGAUUGCGCUACUGUAACACAGUCUGUGUACAUUUUACGUGCACGUACAUACAUGUGUAUCGUAUUACCGAUGUUUAUAUUAAAUUUCCUAGGAGUUUUAUAAAAUAUCAGGUUUCGAAAACAAACAUUAAGCUGUUGAUAAACCGUUAAAAUAUAUUAUCAAAAGUGUUUUAAUAGGUUUACCAACCACUCAACGACACUCACACACCCCACCCCGUGAAUAUUCUUUGCAUGGUUAUAAAAAUGAAAAUAUUUUUUUUUCAAACACUUGAUGUGUUCGUAAGUUAAUUUUAUGAAAAUUUCUGUAUAGAUUUUAAAAACAAAAACUGUUCAAAGAAAAAACUUAAUGUUUUAUAAAAUAUAUUGAUAUAUAUGCCUAUUCAAAGCCCCUCCCCACACUUUUAUCUCUUAAUAAUGCAUAUAUUCAAAUUCGGAUUUUUUUUUAAAAUUUUUAAAAACUAUAUUUUCAAAUACUAAGUUUUUUUAUGCCAUUUAAAAAGUAUUCUAUGGCGAUAAAAACUUAUUUCUUUUCAAACGAGAAUCACCAUUUUUUGUCUGUAAUUCAGAUGAUUGUUAUAAAUAUUUUGACCCAUCUACAUUGAAAUUUAAAGGAAUAGUGUCCGAGUUAUUAAACAUUAAUAUAAACUAUAAAGAUUAAAAUUAAAAAUUAAAUAGAUAAUAUAAUAAUUUAGUAUUGUAAUUGUUAUACUCGAAUUCUAAAAAAAUCAGAAAUUACUUCUAAACAAUUUAAAAAAAAUAUAUCUGAAAAUUCACAGUAAAAAAUGGUGGUUGUCAUUUGAAAUCUAUUGAUUAUAUUAAUCUUGUGCAUCAUCCGUCCAUAUUGAAUCAUAAUUUAAUUAUAAAUUAUAGUAACCUAUUUAUAAACAGGGUCGACAAUAAAAUGGCUCACACCAAAAAGUUUUCAGCAAAUUUAUUAAAACGAUUAAUAUCACACAUUAUAUCGUCAAUAAUAAAUCAAUACAAAUUAAUAAUAAUUAAAUUAAUGAAAUUCCUCAAAUUUGAAAAUCAAUAGACUCAAAAUAUUAUAAUAAUAUGUUAAUGGAUAAAAAUUAACGGUUUUUGCGUUAGUGUAGUUAUAACGCUUUUAUAUAUUUAAAGUAAAAUGUAAAAACUAGUCAAUUUCUGUACAAUUAAUAUCAUAUCAUAUUAUUAUUUAGAGCCGAUUUCAAUUGUCGAUUUAACCAUUUUCCCUACACUUGCAUAAACAGUAACGUUAGCAUUCGAAAAUUAUUGGUACCGAGUACAUACGAUGCAAAUUUAAACAUAUUAUUCAUUAUCUUAACUAUAUUUCACUAAAACUCAAAAUAUAUUUUGACAAAACCACUAUUGGAUUAUCCGGAAAUAAUAAACUCUGAUUUUAUGUAAUUUACUACAAUCUCGAUUGAAUUUAAAUUACAGUUACUGGUUUUCUUCAAUAUGCUCGCAAUUAUUAAGCUAAUAGCCUAAUAAUAUUAUGGUUAUAUCAAUCGCGUUAUUGAAUUCGUAGAACAAUUUUCCAUUACUUUUACAAUAAAUUGUUCAAAACUUUCUACGAAUAAGUCAAACACUUGUGAAAUAAGCAAAUAAAUCGAUACGUUUUUCUUAUCGACAGUGACGGUAAAUACUUUCAUAGUACGGACUAUGCAUCAGAAAAAUUAAUAAUCUCCUUUUCCCAGCCACCGUUGUGGUACGAAAAUUAUUUUGAUUUUCAAACGCGCGUCGUAGAACAUUCACACUCGAAAUAGUUAGGCAUCAUAUUAUGGACACCUACAUGGCUAUAAUAUAUACAAUGCUCAACCCAAUGGUCAUGACAUUAAUAUGAUCAAAUGCUCAUAAAUAAUUUUAAGUAUAAUAAUAAUGAUAACGGGACGUAUAUUAUAACGAUUUAUUAUUAUACAAGAUAACACUGAGAGAAAUGACUCGAAUCACUUUUUGUGUGGUGAUACGCUUCAUAAAAUAUUUAAAAAAAAUAAUUACAAAUAAACACUCGUACAAUAUGAAUGAUGAUUAAAAACUUACGACACUUUGACCUUGUAGUCACAUAAACUUGUAUUUUCCCGUAGAGGCGUAGAACGAUCUGUUUCAGAUAUUUAAUUGAUAUUAUUAUUGUAGAAAAUAAUAUUAUAAUAGUUAUAAGAUAAUUAAUAUAUUUAAGCUGUUUCUCUCUGUAGUGUGUGUCAACUGUUGAUUUUUUUUGUUUAGCAAAUAAGUUACUUAGUAAUAGAGUUAGAUAGACACUACACGUCUAUAAUUUAUUUUUCGUGAUUGUCCCAAUAAGUGAUGCAAAGGGAGUCAAACAUUAUGACUUCUGAAUUUUAGUAGAAGUGUGUUUUAUAUAAGUUGGUAUUAUACGUAUGGUAUGGUUACGGUAGAAACCACGCUGGUUUCUUUCGAAUUGGUAGUCGAUGUCUAUAUAAGUAGUAGGUAGUAACGUUGUGUGUAAUUAUUAUUUAUUCGUUUUGGUUUUGUUUUGCGUUAAUCAGAAGUUUGAAUGAUCUCCUAUAAGGUAAGGGACACCAAAUAUUAUUUAAGUAGAUACCUGAUAUACACGUCGAUCAUUCGACUUAUUCAGUGGUCGAAGUGGGGUUAUAUAAUAAUUCCACUUCUUUUAGAAGUUAUUUUCCAUUUUAAUAACACUCUAAUUUUCCUUAAAUUUACCUAUCUCUCUUAGAUUUUGAAAAAUUUAACGUUUUCUUCAUAGAUUACAUCUUAUUAACCUUAUGUCGACUAAUUUGUUUCAUAAAAAUAUCUCCGUAUAGACAUAUUUUAUUUAUUAAAACUAACAUUUCACAACGAAUAUAAAGAAUAACAUCAUUAGGUUACUAAAAAUAUAAUCACUUUCAUAAAAUACUAUAACAUUAUGUAGGUAAUAACUGAUCAUUAAUAACCAACGAGCGUAAUAAAUAGUAGAACAAUAGUAAUAACAACUGUUCUGGACCUUAUGAAAUAACAAAAUGUCUUCAGUUUUCCAACUACUUAAUCCACUUCGACCAUUGUAAUAUAAGAAUAGAAAAUGUGAAUAUUGCAGGUCAAUAUAAAAUCAGUGUUUUUAAAGUAGUUGUAGAUUUUUUUUUUAUAGAAUUAAUAAUAAAUAAAUACAAAAACAUAUUAGAUUUUAUAGAUAAUCAUAUUGUGUAGACAAAAAAAAUCUUUUAUUAUUAGCUAUUGAAUACAUGUUCUACUUUACAAUAAAUAAUUGUAUUGGAUUGAUUUAAAAAAGUAAAUCGUUAGAUUUUUCUUUUUUUAAUAAAUAGAUAAAACUUAUUUAAGAUUUGAAAAAAAAAAUAAUGAAAACACUCUCGAGAAUAACAAGUAUAGAAAGCAAUUGAUACAGUCAACAUCACGAGUUCAAAAAAGUCGAAGACCACUGGUCUACAACACGAUAAUAAACAAAAAAAUAUUAAGUAUUAGUUAUAUAUGUCUGUUUUAAUCCCAAUAAACAAUAUUACUCUUAAAAUUUUAUUGCACUGAAAAAUCGACAAGAUAUUUUUAUUCUUAACAAAAAAAAUAAAAAAAAAUAAAAACGUAUAAAAAAUAUUAUUAGGUAUAUAUUGACUGUAGAUUAUUGUUAUAAU